GGGGGAUUGGUUAACAAUACCAAAAGGCUGGUUAUGUUAUCUAGCUCCUGAAGUAAUUCGUAGUCUAAGGGCAGGAAGCCAACAAGAAAACAACUUGCCUUUUUCUAGAGCCUCAGAUAUAUAUGCCUUUGGUACUGUAUGGUAUGAACUUUUGUGUGGUGAAUGGCCCUUCCAUGGUCAACCUCCAGAAGCCAUUAUUUGGCAGGUGGGCAAAGGAGUGAAACAAACCUUAGCAAAUAUACAAGCUUCUCGGGAUGUCAAGGAUAUCUUAAUGACAUGCUGGGCUUACAAAGAUACUGAACGUCCUGAGUUUAGCAAGAUCCUCAUGAUGCUUUCAUGCCUUCCUAAGCUUCCAAAGAAACGGCUGGCAAGGAGUCCGUCGCAUCCCAUUCAUUUGUCACGAUCUGCUGAGUCAGUUUUCUAACAUCCCUCAAAACAUUCUUGCUUAGAAAUUCAUGUAACAAAUUUCUGUUAUAUUACUGUGUGUGCAUUUGUACAUACUUGAAUGGUGAAUGAGUAUUAUGUUAAUUUUUGUGAUGUUGCAAUCAUUGGCUAUUGUCCUUUUGGGCUUCAGUCUUCUAUGAAGAUGUUUAUGAGCAGUAUUUAAAAUUAAUGUUCUAGGCUGAGUAAUAAACUUAAAAAAAUUACAAACAUUCCUUGUGGAAUAUGCUCAAUAGCUCUUUAUCUUGUGAUCUCGUAUGUAAAGAAAAAGUGAUAUAUUUUAUAUGUAAGCCAACAAUUUCAUAAUUGUUAUAUAACUGUAAUAUGAUUUCAGUAUUCACUAUUAAUUUAAAUAUUUAAUGAACACAUUUUUAAUUUUCUCAUUUUGUUAUUGAUUUUAAACUUAUACUCAUUUUUAAACUAAUUUUUCUUCCCAGGCUACUUUUGCAAGAAUGUACUGUUGUAUAGCAAGAGAGUAUUUAUGCAAAAGUCGUGCUCAGUUUUAAACAAAAAUUGGAUCCCAUGCUCUAAAGCACUCUGCAGAAAUCAUAUUUUGAGCUAUUGUAUUGUAAUUACGCAUUUUGAAGCAUACUUCUGCAUGAAGAACUUUACAGAGAGAAAAAUAGCAUAGCUACCCAUUAUUAUUAUUAUUUUCAUUUACAAUGGAAAUUGAGUCUAUUUUGUUUUUACCAGGAAUUUUCUUCAUCACCAUUUUUAUAGAAAUUUUGCAGUUUUGCUAAACUAAGUAACCAUCUAUUAUUAUAUAUUUAAAACUGUAUUUUUACUUAUUAUAUUCAUUGUAAAUUCUAAAUCCUGAAUUUCAGUGAAAGGAUGAUCACUUCACAUACUUUUGCUUUUUAAGCUUUGUUACAAAAGUGUUAUUAAGUCACAGUUCAGAAAUUAUUAAAAUAUCUCAAAAGGCGUUAACAAUAAGAAUAUAAUUUUAAAUCUUCUUUUUACCAGAAAGGAAUUUUUUUAUUUCAGUAAAAAUUCAAGCUUUACUGCUUCCGUUUGCAUAAACUGAAUCUCCCAUGUAUCAGGUAUAUCUCUACUUUCAGUUAAUUUUGCAUGAAUGUAGUUUUGAAAAGUUUAAUUUCAACAGAGUUUUUAAACAGAAUUUUUCUGUCAUUCUAUAAUCUAAAUUUUGAAAAAUUAUGAUAAAAAUUAAGGAAAAGGCAUAAUUACCAUCAGUACUCAGGUUAUUCUUUUCAUAUCGUCUUUCAUGUCACAGGGGAAAAGAGUUGUUUGGAAUAAGAAAAAUUAAAUUCAUGUAACAAUUUUAUUUUUCUCUGGUGUGAAGUUUUUUUUCCCCUUGUAAUUUACCAAUAUAUCUUGCUAAACAUUACUGCAGUAUUCUUAUAUUAUUCGAUGAAGAUAAAAUUCUUCUAUUAAAAAUAAUGUUUUCUUAAUGCCAAUGUAAAUCUAAUUUUAGAAAGAUAAAGUAAAUUUCAAAUAUUGUUGAGAUUUGAAGCUUUGCAAAAUUAUCCUUUUAUCUAUUGUAUAUUCUUAAUAUAAAUGCGUAACAAGUAUUUUCAAUUUUGAUAAUUACUAUUAUAAAAAUAUGUGGCUUAUAAAAUAUAAAUGUUUCUCUCAUAGUUAUUUCAGUUCAUCUUAAUAAAAAUGAAUUUUUAAAAUAAUAUAUUCUGCAUAUGGCAUCUAAUAGCUUUUGAAAUGAUUUCUGCAAUAAUUUGUAUGUACUUUUGCAUAUGUUCUCAGUUACUGGUUCUGAAAAUUAAAUUUAUUGCUUUGACAAGAAAGUAAAAUAUCCAUUGCUUGAAAGCAAUUUUAGAAUGUUUUAACUGUAUUGAAUCACAGUGAUCUGAAUGAUUUGUAAAGCUUCUGUAACUUUGCCCAUUUCGGCAAUAGUCUAAGAAUGAUUGUAAAUAAACUGUUUUGGUGAGAAAACUAUGGAGUAUAAUUUUAAAAAGUUGAAUUAUUGCCAAGCAAAUAUAAUGAAUGUCUUUUCUCUUUAUCAGAUUAUUUUAAGAGCUAUUACUUUUUUUGCAUGAACGACUUCAGUAGUUUAACCAAAUUAUGGUUUUGUAAAUAUAUUAAAUAGUAGCUUUAUUUAUUAUUUGUAAGACAACAAAUUGAUAGUUGAUUAUAGAGAUGAUAAUCAAGCAUAUAUUUGUAUCUUGUUGUCUUACUGAAAGGUAUGAUGGUUAUCCAAAAGGAUGUCUUAACAUUGCGAUUGAGACUUGGUCAAAUAAUUUGUCUAUCUUCUGCCAUAAAUAACCUCUUUAAAUAUUGGUGAAGAAGAAAAGAAAUAUUUUCUCAUGUGAAACUCAAUAAUACCUUCUUUUUUAAUCAGUUCCAGAUUGCUUGUUUUUAAAUAUAUAAUGAGGGAAAACAAGAAGAUAUUACGAUGUUAUCAGUAAACAGUGAUAUGAUACAUGUAAGAUUUUUAUCUUGAGAUAUGAAGAUACCUGGAUUUUUAGAUAUUCCUUUUAUUACUUACAAAAUGCCUAGUAUUUGAAGUUAACAUAAAGUAACCUGAUGAUUUCUGCAAACUCAGUUUUAAUUUUAAAUAUUAAAUAAUGUAUAGCAAGUGGAAGGUAUGAUUCUUAGAGCUUUGGAAAAGGUUGUAUGAAUGCUGGGUUCAUUCUAAAAUUGCUGUUUCAAGUUUGUUAGGAUUAUUAUAAAAUUAAAAUUAAAUUUGCACAGUAAUUUUUAUUAGGUUUUCCAGUUUUCAAAAUAUAUUCCUAUCAGAAUUUUUAGUUAAGUAAAAUGCAUAUUUUUAUCCAAAGUCUAGGGCUUAAAUAUUAUGUAAUUAGCCAAAAUGUAACUUACUUUUAUAUAAACCAAAAUCUUACUUAAUUAAAUUAAAACCUGUAAAAAUUUAAGUCAAAUUUAAUUAUUAAAGCUAAGAAUAAAACAAAUAGAGUGCAUGUGAUUACAUAAGUAUAUCCUGAUAUUCAGUUAAUUUUUGAGUGCAAUACUUGAUUAUGCACUCGUUUUCAAAUAAAUCCUAAAAUUGACUUUUUAUUUGUUCAAGAUUUAUUGCAUUAGUGAAUGCAAAUGUAGUGUUGAUUAGCAAAGAGUAUCUUAGGUAGAAGGCUAUAUUUAAUGAAAUAAAAUGUAAUCAUUCAGUAUGCAUUGGCAUUUGCAAGUAGUAUGUUUAAAUUGCUACUACAUACAAGUAAAAUGGCAGAUGAUUGUGAACAAAUAUAUGUGAUAGUGAUAUAACUUAAAUAAAUGCUGUAAAAUUAAAUUAACAAAUUACAUACAGUAUAACAUUGCCAGCAUAGAAUAAAUGCACUACAUGCUGCAUUGUAUUUACUGUGUAUUCUUUCCUUUCUCUGUUUGUCAUUAUAUAUGUAUAUGAAGAUUCCAAUAUUUAGUCUAAUACUGAAAGGGAAUUGAGCAAUGAAGAAAUACUGUACUGUUUUUAUGAAAAAAAAAGGGGGAUCAGUAUUGUACUUUUGAUCAAAGCAUGAGCACUGAACCUUGGUACAAAUCAUGCAUGUGCAUCAUAUUGUACUUAUAGUUGGAUUAUUGUGGAAGACAAUAUCAGAUGCUUUCACUAUUCUGUUUAACCAUAUUAACCUAUUCUCUCUUGGUGUGGGUUUUAUCUCUUAUUAAUUUGCAUUUUAAAUUUUCAGCAUUCUUUUGGCUCAUAAGCAAAAGAUAUGAGGACUAUGUUUCAUUGGCUGUAUUUGUAUCCUGCAGAUAUUCCUGAAUAAAUAAAAGGGAAAAUGUAUUAAGAACAUUUUACAUAUUUUGCUAAUUUCUACAUGAAUUCUCUUCACUUGAUACUAUAACAAAAAUAUCCUCUUAUAAAGUAAGGAAACGUCUUAAAUUUUGAGUACCCUUUUACAAUAUUCCAUUUUAAACAAAAAGAGCAAUGUAUUUUGGGAAACAGAAAUGUCUUAGAAUGAACCCUAGUGAAUAAAUAAUGUUAUUGUGUAAUUGUUAUUAUACUUAGUAAUUUAAAUACAGGAAUAUUUUGCCUUUUUAAAAAGUGAUUCUCUUUCAAAUAUGUUAUGUCUUUAAUUUGAUUCCUAAAGAAUAUCUCUAGUAAAGAUGCAGCAUAAAUGCAUGUGAUUAAGUAAAUGAUUAGACACGUCUAUUUUUUCCCUAGUAAAAAAUAAAUAAUGUGCAUAAUAAAUAACAAUAAGUAAAAAAUAAAUUAUAAUAAUGUGCUUAAUAAAUAUUCUUUGCUUUUCCAUAAUCACCUUAACUGAGAAAUAUAACAGUUGUAAUCAGUUAUAGUGUGUUCCAGAUGCUUUUUGAAGUUGCUGUAUCCCAAAAUCUGAGAUAUAUGUUGUUUGUUAUUAUCUUACUUUACUGUUCUUAAAAAUAAUUUAUAAAUGACAAAAUAAGUACCUGUGGUAAUGAUUUAAAUUUUUUGAAUUCUAUAAAACAAAGAAGAUAAAAUUGUAGAGAAAAGAAGCAGUAAUUAAAAGUAUUUCAAAGCAAAUUUAUGAUAUAGCUUUAACAACUUAUUAUUUGAAAAGUUUGUUUGAAAAUAAUUCUGUUUGGUCAAUAUUUUUAUAAUCAAAAAAAAUGCUUUAGCCGUUUUAUUUUAUGACUUUAUAUUGUAUACAUAUGUGCACAUCUGUUAAUCUUUUGUCACAGUGAAAUUUUUUGAUUAUAAAUAGGCCACUUAAAAAAAAAAAUAGAGAAAGGAAAAGGGAAAAAAAAAAACUAUGUUUACAACUAGCUUCCAAACUACAUUCAGUUUCAGAAUAUUAUAAUACCACAUACAUAUACAUGGUAGAUAAAAAUUGUUAAAUUUCCUAAUGUGAAAUUUAAUAGCAUAUGGCAGAAAAUAUUAUUGUACUUUUAAGCAAUAAUUGAAAAUAUUAUUGCUUAAAAGAUUUUUAAUUUCUGAGUGGUAUUUCAUGACUUUGUAUGCCUGUUUUUUAACAUCAUUUAUCAAAAUAUAUCUUAAGAGAUUUAUAUAUAUAUAUAUAUUUCUCUUCAAAAUGAAAGUAUGGUAUUAUCAAAAUUUGAAUGUUAAAAUUCCGAAAUUAUUACAUAAAAUAUUUUAAUUGAAAUUUUUUUCAUAUCAUAAAGUAUUUUAAUUCAAAUUCUUUCAUUCAUUCAGAAUUUGAAGUCUUUCUCCUUAAAAAGAUUCCAAAAGUAAAGAUUCUUUAACAAUUCAUUUUGAGGUGUAAAUCAAAUAUCUUAUUUAUCUUAAUAGUACGUUUCAAAAUUUAGUGUAUUAGCAUUUAUAAAAAAAUUGUAUCCAUACAUUUAAACAUUUGAUUUUUAUGCAUAUAGUGCAGUGCUUUAGUUUUAUAUCAUUUGUUUAUCAUUUCCAGAAUGGGGGGAAAGCAAAAUAUUGUUUUACUUGCUCUUCUUUGAUGCUUAAUAAAUUAUAUGUCCUUGCAUUUACUAAAAUAAUGUUUAUAAUGCUGAUAUAUCAUUUUCAUUGAAGCAAAAAAAAAAAAAAAAAAAAAAAAAAA